ACUUAAAUUGAAGAGUUUGAUCAUGGCUCAGAUUGAACGCUGGCGGCAGGCCUAACACAUGCAAGUCGAACGGUAGCACAGAGAGCUUGCUCUCGGGUGACGAGUGGCGGACGGGUGAGUAAUGUCUGGGAAACUGCCCGAUGGAGGGGGAUAACUACUGGAAACGGUAGCUAAUACCGCAUAACGUCGCAAGACCAAAGUGGGGGACCUUCGGGCCUCACACCAUCGGAUGUGCCCAGAUGGGAUUAGCUAGUAGGUGGGGUAACGGCUCACCUAGGCGACGAUCCCUAGCUGGUCUGAGAGGAUGACCAGCCACACUGGAACUGAGACACGGUCCAGACUCCUACGGGAGGCAGCAGUGGGGAAUAUUGCACAAUGGGCGCAAGCCUGAUGCAGCCAUGCCGCGUGUAUGAAGAAGGCCUUCGGGUUGUAAAGUACUUUCAGCGAGGAGGAAGGCGUUGUGGUUAAUAACCACAGCGAUUGACGUUACUCGCAGAAGAAGCACCGGCUAACUCCGUGCCAGCAGCCGCGGUAAUACGGAGGGUGCAAGCGUUAAUCGGAAUUACUGGGCGUAAAGCGCACGCAGGCGGUUUGUUAAGUCAGAUGUGAAAUCCCCGGGCUCAACCUGGGAACUGCAUUUGAAACUGGCAAGCUUGAGUCUCGUAGAGGGGGGUAGAAUUCCAGGUGUAGCGGUGAAAUGCGUAGAGAUCUG
rnacentral:rRNA from 1 species